CUAGUACUCCCUCCGUCCGGAAAUACUUGUCAUCCAAAUGGAUAAAAGGACGUAUUUAGUUCUAGAUACAUCCUUUUUCAUCCAUUUUAAUGACAAAUAUUUUCGGACGGAGGGAGUACUAA
rfam:Triticum aestivum genome assembly, contig: Triticum_aestivum_CS42_TGACv1_scaffold_472809_6AL